UUGUGCCAGCAGCCGCGGUAAUACCAGCUCCAGUAGCGUAUAUUAAAGUUGUUGCAGUUAAAAAGCUCGUAGUUGGAUGUCGGAAAGGACCUCCUUGGUGUCCGUCACUCCUAGUGAGUGUUCGUGACCCAGAGUGUUUACCCUUUCUUUUUUCGACUGGAAUCGGGUAUGUUUUUGUGCAUUUACUUGCACGAUGUACCUACACUUCCUUCGGGGAGUGGAACGGUUUCGGUCAUGUUACUGUGAAGAAAUCAGAGUGCUCAAAGCAGGCAUUUGUCCGAAUGGAUUAGCAUGGGAUAACCACCCUUGACCUCGGUCUUUGGGAGUUGGUUCAAAAGGUCGAUGGCGCUUGAUUAAUAGGAACAGUCGGGGGCAUUCGUAUUCCGAAGUCAGAGGUGAAAUUCUUGGAUUUUCGGAAGACGAACAUAUGCGAAAGCAUUUGCCAAGGAUGUUUUCAUUAAUCAAGAACGAAAGUUCGGGGAUCGAAGACGAUCAGAUACCGUCGUAGUCCGAACCAUAAACGAUGCCGACUAGGGAUUGGAAGAUGUGCUUUUGCCAUCUUUCAGCACCUUCCGAGAAAUCAAAGUUUUUGGGUUCCGGGGGGGAGUAUGGUCGCAAGGCUGAAACUUAAAGGAAUUGACGGAAGGGCACCACCAGGAGUGGAGCCUGCGGCUUAAUUUGACUCAACACGGGGAAACUUACCAGGUCCAGACAUAGGAAGGAUUGACAGAUUGACAGCUCUUUCUUGAUUCUAUGGGUGGUGGUGCAUGGCCGUUCUUAGUUGGUGGAGUGAUUUGUCUGGUUAAUUCCGAUAACGAACGAGACCUUCACCUCUAAAUAGUGUGCAUCUCUAUACUUCUUGUGAGGUGAGUCUUGGAGAAAAGUGGGUUCGCUCGCUAUUUUCCUUCUCUCUUACUUGAACGAGGUGUUUUUUUUCACACUUCUUAGAGGGACGAUGUGCGUUAGCACAAGGAAGUUGGAGGCAAUAACAGGUCUGUGAUGC
rnacentral:rRNA from 1 species